GUAGAUAUAGUUUAAAACAAAACACUAAACUGUGGAUUUAGAGUUAGGGGAUUACCCCCUUUUAUACC
rnacentral:tRNA from 1 species